rnacentral:pre_miRNA from 1 species
ACAACAUUAGGACCGUCGCUCUAUCGAGUAACUUCACCCGUUCGAUGGAAGAUCUUCAUUUUGUCGA